CCUGCACUUUGGUUGGAGGUGAAGUAGUUGGAUGAAUGCAGCUAUUUGUAACCGGCAGGUCUACCUGUGGCAGGUGCAUGUGCUGUUAGAUUAGGGAUUUGGUUCAGCUGUGUCUGUCCCUAUAAAAGGAACAGGAAGUGCAUGGAUACACAGCGCCCGCCCGCCCGCCCGAUGUGCCUCUUGUUGGAAGAAUGUCCGGGUCGGGCACCGGUUCGUGCAGUGUCGGUGAGGGGGGCCCCUGCUGGCAGUGUUUUCCUCACUCCAGUUCCCUCACUGUUUUUGUUUGUUUUCCUUUUCAGUAGUGGAAGAUUCGUUGGCACGUUUUCUCACUCUGUGGGUUUGUUUUAUUUGUUUUCAGCACGGAGUGGAGUGAGGUUCGCUGUCUUGUACUGGCUUAGUCCACGGCCCCUCUCUUCCCCUCUCAUCUUGCACAGGCAAUUGACUCGGCCUUCUUUUCUUCUGCUUUUCCUUUUAUUGUCUUUAUUUGCAUAUAGAUAGUCAGAGUAUAAUUGCAACUAUGGAAAUAUGAAAUUGUUAAAUUAAAAUUUUUAUAAGCUUU